rnacentral:lncRNA from 1 species
GCAGGAGUCUCCAUUGCCAGUAAAAACCCGCUUGGCCACUUGUGUAGAAAGAGGAAUUAAUAUUUGAAUACUCAACUGACUGGUUCUUCUUGGGAGCAAGUAGCCAAGUAAAUAACCAAGGGAGAACAAGGGAAGGAACAAAAUGGCAGCAAGCCCAAAGGAGACAUGCCUCAAUCAUCCUGCAGCACCCUGGACGUGGCCAUGGGAUGACAUCCUCCCUCCAGCGCCCUGCCAUGGUACACAGAACGAGCCUCCGUGCGGGAGGAAGGAUACUGGCUGAUUUCGGCUGUGCCUGGUCCAAUCUUGGCUUACCUCAGACGGAGUUCUGGCUGCCUCACUUUCAAUAUGUUGCCGCCUUCCCUGAGAACUCAGAGAGGUCACAUCCACAUCAGGACUUCAGCGCCAGACCCUCCCACUGCCCACCCUUUGCUACCUUUUCUCUCACUUUGUACCGACUCCUCUUGCUAAUUCUCCUUUGUGUGUUUGGAGACCAUCUCUCACCACUUUCACUCAGAUGACCUACUAAACUAUUUUCUCUGCUCAGGUUGUUAAACUAGAAGUUACAGUGGUCUUGAGUCUUGGUUAAGCUUGAUUAAGAUUAAGCUUUAAGUUCAUCAUAGUCUAUGCUGGUUUAAGUGAUGAAUACAGAUGUGCCCCCAGAGUGGCCAAGGGCUGUGCCACGAAAAUAAUAUGCUUUUCAGGAGCGCAUCUUCUCCCCCCUAAAUAUGUGAGGAUGUGUUUGCACCAAAGAUAGAGCAGGGUGUUCAGGGCACAGAUCUGAUGGGGAGGAUCAUGUUCAGGAAAACCACCUUUAGAGCAAACUCGCGAUUCUAUCCAGUUCUCCUUACACCUUGUUUCCUCACAAAAUUAGGCAAAUUCUAAUAGCUAUAGACUUUCGGUAAUUCCUUAGCCUUUCAGAUUUUGCCAUGUAACAGUGUGAUUUCUGCGUUAGCCUGAGUACAGUACUGCAUUCCCUUCUGAGCCUGAGGGGACACCCAUAUGAGUCUUAAAUUUCCAACAAGUGACACUUUGCCUGACUCUACUCUGUUAAAGACUCUUUUGGAAAUCAAUUCUAUAACGUAGUGUAGUACGUUAUAGAAUUCUGGUAAUUAGGAGUUCCCACUGUGGCUCAGCACUAACGAACCCAACUAGUAUCCGUGAGGAUGAGAGUUCAAACCCUGGCCCGGCAUUGCUGUGAGCUGCAGUGUAGGUCAAAGACUGGGUUCGGAUUUGGCAUUGCCAUGGCUAUGGUGUAGACUGGCAGCUGCAGCUCCAAUUCAACCCCUAGCCUGAGAAUUUCCAUAUGCCACAGGUGCAGCCCUAAAAGACAAAAUAAUAAUAAUAAUAAUAAUAAUAAUAAUAAUAAUUCUGGUAACUAUAGAAUACUCAAAGAUAAAAUCCAAAAGCUACUAAAAUCUGCUCAGAGGACGUUAACACACAGAAAAAUCAGAGUGAGUUGUAUUUUUCUUCAAUCUAGCCCAAGGAUGGGCAAGAGGGUGUAGGAAUUUGACAACGUCGAUGCUUGGCCAGAGGAACCCCCCCCCCCGCCCCCCACGGCCAGAAGCCACCUGCUAUGAGAGUUCCCAGGUGCUAUGCAUUUCCUUUAUUUGCCUUUGAGACUCCAACCCUGAGGAGCUCCCAAAGGCUUUUAGAUAAUGAAGACAUUGCUGCAUUCAUCAUUGAUCCCAUUCCCCCAAAACAGCCACAUUUCUAAGUUCAGUGGCAGGAGAAUAAAAUAUUCAUCCCCUUCUGUCA